UCAAACUUGGUCAUUUAGAGGAAGUAAAAGUCGUAACAAGGUUUCCGUAGGUGAACCUGCGGAAGGAUCAUUACCGAACAGUCGACAGGUGUUGUUGCUGGCUCUCUAACGGGAGCAUGUGCACGCUCUGUCUACACAUCCACUCACACCUGUGCACCCUCUGUAGUUCUGCGGUCUGGGGGGCCCGCCCUCCUUCCGUAGCUCUACGUCUUUACACACUCACUGUAACAAAGUCUCAUGGAAUGUUUUCUGCGUUUGACGCAAUAAAAUACAACUUUCAGCAACGGAUCUCUUGGCUCUCGCAUCGAUGAAGAACGCAGC
rnacentral:misc_RNA from 1 species